GUGCUCACUCUGGCAGCACAUAGACUAAAAUUAGAAUGAUACAGAGAAGAUUAACAUGGCCCCUACACAAGGAUGACAUGCAAAUUCAUGAAGUGUUUCAUAUUUUU